rnacentral:rRNA from 1 species
UACGAAGGGGCUAGCGUUGCUCGGAAUCACUGGGCGUAAAGGGUGCGUAGGCGGGUCUUUAAGUCAGGGGUGAAAUCCUGGAGCUCAACUCCAGAACUGCCUUUGAUACUGAGGAUCUUGAGUUCGGGAGAGGUGAGUGGAACUGCGAGUGUAGAGGUGAAAUUCGUAGAUAUCGCAAGAACACCAGUGGCGAAGGCGGCUCACUGGCCCGAUACUGACGCUGAGGCACGAAAGCGUGGGGAGCAAACAGG